rnacentral:rRNA from 1 species
GGACAGUAUGGGAGUGAGAAUGUUGGCAUGAGUAGCGAGAUGUGGGUGAGAAUCCCACAGGCCGUAAACCCAAGGUUUCCAGGGGAAGGUUCGUCCGCCCUGGGUUAGUCGGGACCUAAGCUGAGGCCGAAAGGCGUAGGGGAUGGACAACAGGUUGAUAUUCCUGUACUACCGAUAACCGUUUGAGAGAUGGGAUGACACAGUAGGAUAAGCUAAGCACACUGUUGGUUAUGUGUGCCCAAGCAUUGAGGCAGUCAGAGUAGGUAAAUCCGCUUUGAUAAUGCUGGGAUGUGAUGGGGAGCGAAAUUUAGUAGCGAAGUAGCUGAUUUCACACUGUCAAGAAAAGUCUCUAUCGAGGUUAAAGGUACCCGUACCGCAAACCGACACAGGUGGGUGAGGAGA